CUAUCGGGGUUCGAUUAAGCCAUGCGAGUCGAGAGGUGCAAGACCUCGGCGCACUGCUCAGUAACACGUGGAUAACCUACCCUCAGGAGGGGGAUAACCCCGGGAAACUGGGGAUAAUACCCCAUAGACCAGGGACGCUGGAAUGCCUCCUGGUCCAAAGGUCCGCCGCCUGAGGAUGGGUCUGCGGCCGAUUAGGUUGUUGUUGGGGUAACGGCCCAACAAGCCUUUGAUCGGUACGGGUUGUGAGAGCAAGAGCCCGGAGAUGGAUUCUGAGACACGAAUCCAGGCCCUACGGGGCGCAGCAGGCGCGAAAACUUUACAAUGCGAGAAAUCGUGAUAAGGGAACCCCGAGUGCCCGUAAAUCCGGGCUGUCCAUCAGUGUAAAUAACUGGUGAAGAAAGGGCCGGGCAAGACCGGUGCCAGCCGCCGCGGUAAUACCGGCGGCUCGAGUGGUGGCCACUAUUACUGGGCUUAAAGCGUCCGUAGCUUGACUGUUAAGUCUCUUGGG
rnacentral:rRNA from 1 species